GCGAAGAAGAGUAAAGCUGAACAAGCCCAAUCCCGUCUGAUCUCGGAAGCUAAGCAAGGUCGAACCUGGUUAGUACUUGGAUGGGAGACCACCUACGAAGACCAGGUGCUGUAGGCG
rnacentral:rRNA from 1 species